GGCCUGCUAAGAAGCCUGAGUUUGGUUCCCAGGAAUGGAGAGCGAGAUAACUGCUACAUGAUCAUAGGGCUUUUCAUCAAUCUUUUCUGUUCAUAAACACAUGCAAUUGCCAUAUGGAAAUAGGAUCUGCUGCCCCAAUUCCUCCUAAAAUAGAGCAUUUCUAAUUGCAGUUAUUUAACUUCCUUUCUGAAGUACUCUCCUUACUCUUCCUUUAGAAAUACUUGUUUUAAUUAUUUGGGUUAGCUUAGCAUGUGGAGGAAAAGGGAGUGGAACCGGCAAUUGGAAAGACUUCUCUGAAACUGGGCCUAGAGUCAUCCUCAGGUCUUGCCAACCAUUUUGAAAAUACAGAAGCUCCUGAGCUGCUGGCACCCGCAUCAUCUCGUAUCCUCACUGGCCAGUUCUGUUCACCGUCAGUACUCACAAAUCUUUCCCGUGUCAUUUCAAGGCUUGAGUUUUUCCAGUUUGAUGCCUGUGAAUAAUGGUGAUGGUUUACUAUGAUCCCAAUUUCAAGAGGCCAUUAGCAAU
ensembl:lncRNA